rnacentral:misc_RNA from 1 species
GAUGAAGAACGUAGCGAAAUGCGAUAAGUAGUGUGAAUUGCAGAAUUCAGUGAAUCAUCGAAUCUUUGAACGCACAUUGCGCCCUUUGGUAUUCCAAAGGGCAUGCCUGUUCGAGCGUCAUUUGUACCCUCAAGCUUUGCUUGGUGUUGGGCGUCUUGUCUCUAGCUUUGCUGGAGACUCGCCUUAAAGUAAUUGGCAGCCGGCCUACUGGUUUCGGAGCGCAGCACAAGUCGCACUCUCUAUCAGCAAAGGUCUAGCAUCCAUUAAGCCUUUUUUGCAACUUUUGACCUCGGAUCAGGUAGGGAUACCCGCUGAACUUAAGCAUAUCAAUAAGCGGAGGA